GUGUUUGCUUUGGCAGCACAUAUACAAAAAUUGGAAUGAUGCAGAGAUUAGCAUGGCCCCUUUUGCAGGGAUGACACUCAAAGUCAUAAAGCAUUACAUAUUUUU
ensembl:snRNA U6 U6 spliceosomal RNA